GUGUCAGCAGCCGCGGUAAUACGAACCGUCCAAACGUUAUUCGGAAUCACUGGGCUUAAAGGGUGCGUAGGCGGCCCGGGAAGUUGGGUGUGAAAUCCCUCGGCUCAACCGAGGAAUUGCGCUCAAAACUGCCGGGCUUGAGGGAGAUAGAGGUGAGCGGAACUUAGGGUGGAGCGGUGAAAUGCGUUGAUAUCCUAAGGAACACCGGUGGCGAAAGCGGCUCACUGGGUCUCUUCUGACGCUGAGGCACGAAAGCUAGGGGAGCGAACGGGAUUAGAUACCCCGGUAGUCCUAGCCGUAAACGAUGAGCACUAGAUCGAAGGGCACUCCAUAGCCCUCCGGUCGUAGCGAAAGUGUUAAGUGCUCCGCCUGGGGAGUAUGGUCGCAAGGCUGAA
rnacentral:rRNA from 1 species